AGUGAACGCUGGCGGCGUGCUUAACACAUGCAAGUCGAACGAGAACGGAAUAUAGCUUGCUAUAUUUGUCAGCUAAGUGGCGCACGGGUGAGUAAUGUAUAGAUAACCUGCCCUUAAGAAAGGAAUAACAGUUGGAAACGACUGCCAAUGCCCUAUAUGCCUUUAAUACAUAAGUAUGCAAGGGAAACGCUUUAGUGCUUAAGGAUGGGUCUGUAUGGUAUCAGCUUGUUGGUGAGGUAAUGGCUCACCAAGGCUAUGACGCCUAACUGGUUUGGGAGGAUGAUCAGUCACACUGGAACUGAGACACGGUCCAGACUACUACGGGAGGCAGCAGUGGGGAAUAUUGCACAAUGGACGAAAGUCUGAUGCAGCAACGCCGCGUGGAGGAUGACACAUUUCGGUGCGUAAACUCCUUUUAUAUAGGAAGAUAAUGACGGUACUAUAUGAAUAAGCACCGGCUAACUCCGUGCCAGCCGCCGCCGUAA
rnacentral:rRNA from 1 species